UACGUAGGUGGCAAGCGUUGUCCGGAAUUAUUGGGCGUAAAGCGCGCGCAGGCGGUCCUUUAAGUCUGAUGUGAAAGCCCCCGGCUCAACCGGGGAAGGGGUGCCGAAACGGCCGGCCUGGAGGGGCGUAGGGGGACCUGGAACUUCCGGUGGAGCGGUGAAAUGCGUUGAGAUCGGAAGGAACGCCCGUGGCGAAAGCGAGGUCCUGGACGCCAUCUGACGCUGAGACGCGAAAGCCAGGGGAGCGAACGGG
rnacentral:rRNA from 1 species